CCCGCUGAACUUAAGCAUAUCAAUAAGCGGUGGAAAAGAAAAUAACCAUGAUUCCCUUAGUAACGGCGAGUGAAGUGGGAAGUGCUCAAAUUUAAAAUCCCUUUUGGGAAUUGUAAUUUAUAGAAUAAAUGGUUAGUAAGUGGAGAUUAAAGUCUGCUGGAAAGCAUGCGCUAGAAAGGGUGAUAGCCCCGUUCAGUCUCUUAACUUGCUUCUAUACCAUUAUUUCAACGAGUCAGGUUGCUUGGGAAUGCAGCCUAAAUUUGGUGGUAAACUCCAUCUAAAGCUAAAUAUUGAUCAGUGACCGAUAGCAAACAAGUACCGUGAGGGAAAGAUGAAAAGAACCUUGAAAAGGGGGUUAAAAGUACGUGAAAUUGUUAUUAGGAAAGCACUUAGUCUCAUUGUGGAUUAGAUCAGUCUGUUUCGGCAGAUACUGUCCUAAUUAGUUAUGAUCAGUUAGCGUUGAUAAAGAAAAUUUUUGAUAAGGUAUUAGUGUAGUGCUAAACUUAAAGAUCAAUUAUUAUUUGUCGAUACUGACUGAGGAAUGCUACUUAAUCUUUUUGAGUAAAUAGUUUGUGGAGUUAGGUUAAACAACAUGUUGAUUAGCUUAAUUAAAGCGAUCUAUUUGCUUUAGAACUUAAGUACAGGAUCAUAAUUAAAUGAUACUAAAUGACCCGUCUUGAAACACGG
rnacentral:rRNA from 1 species